rnacentral:lncRNA from 1 species
CAAAUAACCCCCAUGCUUUCUCCCUCUUCUAAAUGAUUCUCUUGAGUGGACUUGUCCCUGGAUAAAUUGAUUGGAUGUCCAUGUGGUAUUGGCCAGGGACCUAGUGUCUCACCAUAAAUUAGCAGCAGCCUUCAAGAAGGAGGUCAUUUCCUGUAGGAAUGAGCAAUCGUGUUUGGAAAAACCAGUCUCACAUUCUCCAUGCUGCUGUACAACCAAAUGCAAACUAAGCCUUUUAUUUAAAGAAACAUUCGACUAAGUGUCAGGUGAUGAUGCUUUUUCCACAUUUUGCAGCCAGAACCAGAAAUGUUGAAAUAUCACCAAAAUGUUCUCAUAUGAAGGUCAGUCAGGACUGUAAGUUCCAGAAAUCUUAAGAAAACAGUCACCCCUUAUGAAAUUGUUUUAUUCUGUUGUGCUUGCCAUAAUUCCAAUAAGCCCUUUCCAAAUCUAGGUACUGCUUUGAACUAAACUUAAAAUUAAGCCCUUUGCAUUUGUUAAUUCCAACUGGGGAAUCAAUAUUCUUUAGUCAUUUAAGGCUCUGAAAGAUUUCUAUGACAAUUG